UGAGAGAAACCCACUGGUGAGUGCAAGGGAGAUGUGUGCCUCUGUGCAGCUGCUCCUGGCAGGCUGCAAAGGGCACAGGGAUUCUGCCGGGGAAAACAGGCACAGGCUGCUGUGGAGAAGGCCAGGAGGGAUGGGUGGCACAAACAGCUCGUGCCUCACGGGUGGUAAUCUCAGUGUCUGGCACAGAAUGUCGUUGGUCUGAGCUGGAAUCCAGGGCCACUUUAGUGCAUUACUCUUGAAAAUGCUGUUAACUUUGGAAACAUCUGUUUGGAAAUGGUAUCUCUCUGAGCACAAAAGGGGAUGUCAGAAGACUUCUGGGAACCUUGAGCUUUCUGUCAACGAAAGGAAAGCUGGCAUUUGAAGAGUGGUUGCAAGGAUUGAAACUUACAUUAAAACAUAAGGAAAUGACAAUGCCAAAUUGCCUGGAUGGCACCAAACAUCUGAACCUGGGCCAUUGUGGCACUGCAUGUAAAUCAGUGAAGAGGAAGGACAGGCAAGGCAGGCUGUGCCAGGGAGCCUGAGGUUUGACAGAACAGUUGCUUUCAACUCUCAGACUGCUUACCUUAAAGAGGAGGGUUUCUCCCCACCAGAGGAACCAGUUGUUUAACUGUCAGCCUGAUCUGAACUAGAGAUUUCUUGCAAAGCUUUUACCUUUGGGCCAAUAAUUUGUAGUUUGAAAGGUUCUCUUACCUUGAUCCUUUUAAAUUUGGAGGUGAACAUGUAAUUUGCUUUUUCUUUUUUCUCCAAAAGCCCAGCAUUUCAGCUGGAGAGUGGUAGCUGUCCCUAAAGAAAUAACUAGAGCAGGGUUGAGCUGUUUAAGGAUUUUUAGGUUUCCCUGUUGUGGUUUGCUUUGGGUUUUUUUAAAAAUGUUUCUUGCCUGCUUCCUGGGACAGAGAAAACAGUUAUGGAGCUCUGGACGGCAGGCAGAAUCCUCUCCAAGCCCAAGGCUGAUGGAGUCUGGCAGGAUCCCAGCACUACAGCCGAUAGAUGAGCUUCACCCACCUCAAUUCACUCCCCAACCACCAAAGGAGAUGAGAACAUGUUUGCAUUGCCCAGCGUCUCGAUGGAGGCACUUCAAGGCUGGAAAGCAGGAGGCAGCCACAGCCCUGACUGAAGAGCAGGAUUUGACCCAGUCUUCAGGAGCAGAGGCUUCCAGUAUCCUGCCAGUGUCAGGUGUGUUGCAGCCAGGAGAGAGCCAGCAGGUCUCCUUGCC